UGGGUCUAAUUACCAAGAUAUGACCUGGGGGGUUGCAUGACCUUGGGUGGGAAAGAAUUUAUCGGGUGCAAGAUGAGCCCGCGGCCUAUCAGCUUGUUGGUGGGGUAAUGGCCUACCAAGGCGACGACGGGUAGCCGGCCUGAGAGGGCGACCGGCCACACUGGGACUGAGACACGGCCCAGACUCCUACGGGAGGCAGCAGUGGGGAAUAUUGCACAAUGGGCGGAAGCCUGAUGCAGCGACGCCGCGUGAGGGAUGACGGCCUUCGGGUUGUAAACCUCUUUCGACUCCGACGAAGCGAGAGUGACGGUAGGAGUAUAAGAAGCACCGGCCAACUACGUGCCAGCAGCCGCGGUAAUACGUAGGGUGCGAGCGUUGUCCGGAAUUACUGGGCGUAAAGAGCUUGUAGGCGGCUUGUCGCGUCGAUCGUGAAAACUCGGGGCUCAACCCCGAGCUUGCGGUCGAUACGGGCAGGCUUGAGUACUUCAGGGGAGACUGGAAUUCCUGGUGUAGCGGUGAAAUGCGCAGAUAUCAGGAGGAACACCGGUGGCGAAGGCGGGUCUCUGGGAAGUAACUGACGCUGAGAAGCGAAAGCGUGGGUAGCGAACAGGAUUAGAUACCCUGGUAGUCCACGCCGUAAACGGUGGGUACUAGGUGUGGGUUUCCUUCCACGGGAUCCGUGCCGUAGCUAACGCAGUAA
rnacentral:rRNA from 1 species